rnacentral:rRNA from 1 species
GAUGAACGCUGGCGGCGUGCCUAAUACAUGCAAGUCGAGCGAACGGACGAGAAGCUUGCUUCUCUGAUGUUAGCGGCGGACGGGUGAGUAACACGUGGAUAACCUACCUAUAAGACUGGGAUAACUUCGGGAAACCGGAGCUAAUACCGGAUGAUAUUUUGAACCGCAUGGUUCAAAAGUGAAAGACGGUCUUACUGUCACUUAUAGAUGGAUCCGCGCUGCAUUAGCUAGUUGGUAAGGUAACGGCUUACCAAGGCAACGAUGCAUAGCCGACCUGAGAGGUUGAUCGGCAACACUGGAACGAGGAAACGGUCCGGACUCCUACGGGAGGCAGCAGUAGGGAAUCUUCCGCAAUGGGCGAAAGCCUGACGAGGCAACGCCGCGUGAGUGAUGAAGGUCUUCGGAUCGUAAAACUCUGUUAUUAGGGAAGAACAUAUGUGUAAGUAACUGUGCACAUCUUGACGGUACCUAAUCAGAAAGCCACGGCUAACUACGU